AACGAACGCUGGCGGCAGGUCUAACACAUGCAAGUCGAACGAACUCUUCGGAGUUAGUGGCGCACGGGUGCGGAACACGUGGGAAUGUACCCCUAGGUAAGGAAUAACUGCUGGAAACGGUAGCUAAUACCUUAUAAUAUCUUCGGAUCAAAGAUUUAUCGCCUAGGGAUCAGCCCGCGUCUGAUUAGCUUGUUGGUGAGGUAAUGGCUCACCAAGGCUACGAUCAGUAGGGGGUCUGAGAGGAUGAUCCCCCACACUGGUACUGAGACACGGACCAGACUCCUACGGGAGGCAGCAGUGAAGAAUAUUGGACAAUGGAGGAAACUCUGAUCCAGCCAUGCCGCGUGAGUGAAGACGGCCUUAGGGUUGUAAAGCUCUUUCAGAUGUGAAGAUAAUGACGGUAGCAUCAGAAGAAGCCCCGGCUAAAUUCG
rnacentral:rRNA from 1 species